AAUAAUUUUUUUAAAAUUUAAAGGUCCUUCCCCCUGGGUUUAAGUCCAAAAACAAAUAAUUGUGCAAGUACAAUAAUAUUUGACAUAAGUCAAGAAAUAGGACCUAUAAAAAGACGGGGCCAAGGAGACAUGCAGGGGACAGCUUAGUCCCAUGCACUUUCAUGCAGAAGGUGAUCUCCUGACAUGCUUUCUAAUGAAGGCACCAUAAUAAAUAUUAUGGGCUAAGUCUCUUCAUGGGCCUUUACAUAAGAAAAUAAGUGAGCUCAUUUGUCACAAAGGCUCCUUUCUGAUAUCUAAACCCUUUUUUAUUUUUGUUCUUGAUUUCUUGCAGUCAUUUUAUGAGAAUAUAUCUUCGAAGGCACAUUGUUUCCAAUAAUAA
rnacentral:lncRNA from 1 species